rnacentral:rRNA from 1 species
CAGUCGAACGGACUUAUACUGAAACCUAGUGAUUUAUGAGUUAGUGGCGGACGGGUGAGUAACGCGUGGAUAACCUGCCGUAUACCGGGGGAUAACACUUAGAAAUAGGUGCUAAUACCGCAUAAGCGCACGGCUCCGCAUGGGGCAGUGUGAAAAACUCCGGUGGUAUACGAUGGAUCCGCGUCUGAUUAGCUAGUUGGCGGGGUAACGGCUCACCAAGGCAGCGAUCAGUAGCCGGCCUGAGAGGGUGGACGGCCACAUUGGGACUGAGACACGGCCCAAACUCCUACGGGAGGCAGCAGUGGGGAAUAUUGCACAAUGGGGGAAACCCUGAUGCAGCGACGCCGCGUGAGUGAAGAAGUAUCUCGGUACGUAAAGCUCUAUCAGCAGGGAAGAUAAUGACGGUACCUGACCAAGAAGCCCCGGCUAACUACGUGCCAGCAGCCGCGGUAAUACGUAGGGGGCAAGCGUUAUCCGGAUUUACUGGGUGUAAAGGGAGCGUAGACGGCAGCACAAGUCUGGAGUGAAAUCCCGGGGCUUAACCCCGGAACUGCUUUGGAAACUGUGCGGCUGGAGUGCAGGAGGGGUAAGCGGAAUUCCUAGUGUAGCGGUGAAAUGCGUAGAUAUUAGGAGGAACACCGGUGGCGAAGGCGGCUUACUGGACUGUAACUGACGUUGAGGCUCGAAAGCGUGGGGAGCAAACAGGAUUAGAUACCCUGGUAGUCCACGCCGUANACGAUGAUUACUAGGUGUCGGGGGNCCAAGGUCCUCCGGUGCCGGCGCAAACGCAUUAAGUAAUCCACCUGGGGAGUACGUUCGCAAGAAUGAAACUCA